GAUGAAGAACGUAGCGAAAUGCGAUAAGUAGUGUGAAUUGCAGAAUUCAGUGAAUCAUCGAAUCUUUGAACGCACAUUGCGCCUCCUGGCAUUCCGGGAGGCAUGCCUGUUCGAGCGUCAUCAAACCCCAUCGUGCAAAUGAAUUAUUUUUUUUGCGCGGAAGUGACGAUUGAGCGAGAAUAACAAAUCCUCUCGCACCUCGUCGAAAUGAUUGCGGGCGGAAUUUGGGAUCGGGUUCCUCGGCGUAGUGUAUCAAUGCAUAUUUAUGCAACUUGCCGCGGAGUUGAGCCUGACCCACGCGUUCUCGCCGUACAAACACCUCAUUACUUUACAAGUUUUUGACCUCGGAUCAGGUAGGGAUACCCGCUGAACUUAAGCAUAUCAAUAAGCGGAGGA
rnacentral:misc_RNA from 1 species